UGCGUAGGUGGUGAUGCAAGUCUGGUGUGAAAUCUCGGAGCUUAACUCCGAAAUUGCACCGGAUACUGCGUUGCUCGAGGGCUGUAGAGGAGAUCGGAAUUCACGGUGUAGCGGUGAAAUGCGUAGAGAUCUGGAGGAAUACCGAUGGCGAAGGCAGCCAUCUGGCCUAAUACUGACACUGAGGUACAAAGCAUGGGGAGCAAACA
rnacentral:rRNA from 1 species